rnacentral:misc_RNA from 1 species
AAAGUCGUAACAAGGUUUCCGUAGGUGAACCUGCGGAAGGAUCAUUAACAAAUCCAUUAGUAAGUGGAAAUUUUCCACUUACAUGAACCCGGAUCUCCGAGAGGAGAUUCGCCUGUAAAUGAAUUAAACCAAAUUUUGGUUAAGUUUGUUUACAGAAAUAGGCUAUGUUUUGUAUGUCUUAUUUUAUAUAAAAUUUAAUUAUAAACAACUUUUAACAAUGGAUCUCUUGGCUCUU